GCCGUUUUCUGGCGGGGAUGGCUUGCCAUAUUGGAACAGUGCUUGUCGGCGUUCUAUGACGUGGCGUCCUUAAAUGGGCGGCCGUUGAGCAUGCUUCCUUAACAUUGGGAAACACCCAUGGUGGUUACCCCCAAUUAUCUAAAUGAAGACACCUGCUUGAUUUUUUCUUGCUGGAUGACAAGGGAAAUGGAAUAACAGUCAGGUGAUUUGCCUACAUUCUCAGCGAAAAGAAGGCGAUGUUUUGUCAAGCCUGAAAGCAGAAGUAAACCUACCACUACCUCAAUCUCCAGAUCACAUGCAGACUGAUGGCAAGGACCCAAGUUAUAGCAAUGAUGAAGUCCCUGCAUUCGUCCCAUCAGGGAGAACAACAGCUAUUUGCAAUAGACGGACACCUUGUCAAUGCAUUCCAAGCCCUGCCGCUGAUGAGGAUUCUCCUGAAGUGCAACACAGGAGUCGCUGGUAGUUGUUUUAUUAUAAGUAGUAUUUGUUCAAGAGUAAAACAAAGCAUCGGACUGAUAUCGGUAUCGGCAUAUAGCCAAAGCUGCGGUUUCGGUAUCAAAAGUGAAAAGU
ensembl:lncRNA